GCCAAGUAGUUUCAGAGGAGAAGAUUUUUGUAAAAGAUUACUAAGAUUUACGAAAAAUGGUUAAAAAUUGACUAUAAAGGGCAAUAACUCCUAAAGGGGUCAACUGACCAUUUUCGUCAUGUUGACUUAUUUGUAAAUCUUACUUUGCUGAACAUUAUUGCUGUUUACAGUUUAUCUCUAUCUAUAAUAAUAUUCAAGAUAAUAACCAAAAACAGCAAAAUUUU
rnacentral:lncRNA from 1 species